rfam:Pan troglodytes isolate Yerkes chimp pedigree #C0471 (Clint) chromosome 3, whole genome shotgun sequence.
GCCAGGUGUGGUGGUGGGCACCUGUAAUCCCAGCUACUUGGGAGGCUGAGGCAGGAGAAUCGCUUGAACCCGGGAGGCAGAGGUUGCAGUGAGCCAAGAUCGCACCACUGCACUCCAGCCUGGGUGACAGAGUGAGACCCUGUCUCAG